rnacentral:misc_RNA from 1 species
ACUUAGACUCCACAAUGAACUAUUGAACAUUAGAAUAAGAAAGAGAAGAAAAAAGGACUUGGAAGUUUAAAUACUGUGUAAUUAAAGUCAAACACAACUUCAUGUAACUUUUAAACAUUAUUUUUGAAUUGAAAUUGUAAAACUGAAGCUUCUAUACUUUGCAGGUUUAUUAUAAUAAAAAUGUUCAUGUUGUCAAAAUAUAUUUUCACCAAUGAUGAUUGUAAUUGACAGAAUUUCAGUGGUCCAUAUUUUCAUGGCUGAUACCAUUAAAAUGGUAUCUAGAUUUGAUUUUUCAAGACACAUUGUGCACAGUUAUGAAAGAUCUGAAGUUAAUUUUUAAAAUACAUAUACUAAUUUAUUAUUUUGUGAGCAGGUUCAUUUAUCAUUUGUUUUUCUUCAUGAAAUUCUCUCAUUUGCAGAAAAAAAUGUUAUUUUCUUUAGUACUGGUUUAAUUUUAAUUAUCAUGUAUUCUUCACAUACAUUUAUGAGAUGUAAAUAAUUUAAUUGAGCAUUUUGACAACUUGUGACUCAUGAUAUUGUUCUGUAUUACACAAUUAUGAAGCAAAUAAGGUGCUUUUUGCUUAUAGUAGUACUUGAAUGUUCAAGAACAUAUGGUACUGGUAGCUAGGGGAAAAAGAAGAAAAUUGUUUAAGGAGCCAGUACUCGUCAUUUUCUUUUUCAAGCAUUUAAAAACAUCGUACAGUAUAAAUGUAUUACAUGUACCUAUAAAAGAGAAGAUAACUCUUCUGCUGGCAACAUUAAGCCAUAAAUAUUUAAUAUAAAAAUUUGUGUUGUGUUCCCACAAAAGAACUAUUGGAAGAUGCGAGAAUUAUGGAUCAGUUAGCUGCGUUAGAUUUGGUGUUGGUUUUUCUGCCAGUUUAUGUUGUAUUAAAGUUAUUCAAAUACAUGUACGACCCUCGAAUCCAUCCAUGUUGUCCAUAAAAAUCAACAUUUCCUUUUAUAAAAACAUGUUUCAACACAUUUUUGUACCAGUGAUGUUUAAACAUGUGCUGUGUAACUGUCAAAAGAGAUAUUACUGAUGUAAACAUUUGUGUAUCAUUUUGAAAUAUAAAAACCUUAAUAUAUGAC